UACGGAGGGUGCAAGCGUUAUCCGGAUUCACUGGGUUUAAAGGGUGCGUAGGUGGGCAGGUAAGUCAGUGGUGAAAUCUCCGGGCUUAACCCGGAAACUGCCAUUGAUACUAUCUGUCUUGAAUACCCUGGAGGUGAGCGGAAUAUGUCAUGUAGCGGUGAAAUGCUUAGAUAUGACAUAGAACACCCAUUGCGAAGGCAGCUCACUACGGGAAUAUUGACACUGAUGCACGAAAGCGUGGGGAUCAAACAGG
rnacentral:rRNA from 1 species